UUAAGCGACUAAGCGUACACGGUGGAUGCCCUGGCAGUCAGAGGCGAUGAAGGACGUGCUAAUCUGCGAAAAGCGUCGGUAAGGUGAUAUGAACCGUUAUAACCGGCGAUGUCCGAAUGGGGAAACCCAGUGCAAUUCGUUGCACUAUCGUUAACUGAAUACAUAGGUUAACGAGGCGAACCGGGGGAACUGAAACAUCUAAGUACCCCGAGGAAAAGAAAUCAACCGAGAUUCCCCCAGUAGCGGCGAGCGAACGGGGAGCAGCCCAGAGUCUGAAUCAGCUUGUGUGUUAGUGGAACGGUCUGGAAAGUCCGACGGUACAGGGUGAUAGUCCCGUACACCAAAAUGCACAGGUUGUGAACUCGAAGAGUAGGGCGGGACACGUGGUAUCCUGUCUGAAUAUGGGGGGACCAUCCUCCAAGGCUAAAUACUCCUGACUGACCGAUAGUGAACCAGUACCGUGAGGGAAAGGCGAAAAGAACCCCGGCGAGGGGAGUGAAAAAGAACCUGAAACCGUGUACGUACAAGCAGUGGGAGCACCUUCGGGUGUGACUGCGUACCUUUUGUAUAAUGGGUCAGCGACUUAUAUUCUGUAGCAAGGUUAACCGUAUAGGGGAGCCGCAGGGAAACCGAGUCUUAACUGGGCGUUAAGUUGCAGGGUAUAGACCCGAAACCCGGUGAUCUAGCCAUGGGCAGGUUGAAGGUUGGGUAACACUAACUGGAGGACCGAACCGACUAAUGUUGAAAAAUUAGCGGAUGACUUGUGGCUGGGGGUGAAAGGCCAAUCAAACCGGGAGAUAGCUGGUUCUCCCCGAAAGCUAUUUAGGUAGCGCCUCGUGAACUCAUCUUCGGGGGUAGAGCACUGUUUCGGCUAGGGGGUCAUCCCGGCUUACCAACCCGAUGCAAACUACGAAUACCGAAGAAUGUUAUCACGGGAGACACACGGCGGGUGCUAACGUCCGUCGUGAAGAGGGAAACAACCCAGACCGCCAGCUAAGGUCCCAAAGUCAUGGUUAAGUGGGAAACGAUGUGGGAAGGCACAGACAGCCAGGAUGUUGGCUUAGAAGCAGCCAUCAUUUAAAGAAAGCGUAAUAGCUCACUGGUCGAGUCGGCCUGCGCGGAAGAUGUAACGGGGCUAAACCAUGCACCGAAGCUGCGGCAGCGACACUAUGUGUUGUUGGGUAGGGGAGCGUUCUGUAAGCCUGCGAAGGUGUGCUGUGAGGCAUGCUGGAGGUAUCAGAAGUGCGAAUGCUGACAUAAGUAACGAUAAAGCGGGUGAAAAGCCCGCUCGCCGGAAGACCAAGGGUUCCUGUCCAACGUUAAUCGGGGCAGGGUGAGUCGACCCCUAAGGCGAGGCCGAAAGGCGUAGUCGAUGGGAAACAGGUUAAUAUUCCUGUACUUGGUGUUACUGCGAAGGGGGGACGGAGAAGGCUAUGUUAGCCGGGCGACGGUUGUCCCGGUUUAAGCAUGUAGGCUGAUUGUCCAGGCAAAUCCGGAUAAUCAAGGCUGAGGUGUGAUGACGAGGCACUACGGUGCUGAAGUAACAAAUGCCCUGCUUCCAGGAAAAGCCUCUAAGCAUCAGGUAACAUUAAAUCGUACCCCAAACCGACACAGGUGGUCAGGUAGAGAAUACCAAGGCGCUUGAGAGAACUCGGGUGAAGGAACUAGGCAAAAUGGUGCCGUAACUUCGGGAGAAGGCACGCUGGUGUGUAGGUGAAGUCCCUGCGGAUGGAGCUGAGACCAGUCGAAGAUACCAGCUGGCUGCAACUGUUUAUUAAAAACACAGCACUGUGCAAACACGAAAGUGGACGUAUACGGUGUGACGCCUGCCCGGUGCCGGAAGGUUAAUUGAUGGGGUUAUCCGUAAGGAGAAGCUCUUGAUCGAAGCCCCGGUAAACGGCGGCCGUAACUAUAACGGUCCUAAGGUAGCGAAAUUCCUUGUCGGGUAAGUUCCGACCUGCACGAAUGGCGUAAUGAUGGCCAGGCUGUCUCCACCCGAGACUCAGUGAAAUUGAACUCGCUGUGAAGAUGCAGUGUACCCGCGGCAAGACGGAAAGACCCCGUGAACCUUUACUAUAGCUUGACACUGAACAUUGAGCCUUGAUGUGUAGGAUAGGUGGGAGGCUUUGAAGCGUGGACGCCAGUCUGCGUGGAGCCAACCUUGAAAUACCACCCUUUAAUGUUUGAUGUUCUAACGUUGGCCCCUGACCGGGGUUGCGGACAGUGUCUGGUGGGUAGUUUGACUGGGGCGGUCUCCUCCCAAAGCGUAACGGAGGAGCACGAAGGUUAGCUAAUCCUGGUCGGACAUCAGGAGGUUAGUGCAAUGGCAUAAGCUAGCUUGACUGCGAGCGUGACGGCGCGAGCAGGUGCGAAAGCAGGUCAUAGUGAUCCGGUGGUUCUGAAUGGAAGGGCCAUCGCUCAACGGAUAAAAGGUACUCCGGGGAUAACAGGCUGAUACCGCCCAAGAGUUCAUAUCGACGGCGGUGUUUGGCACCUCGAUGUCGGCUCAUCACAUCCUGGGGCUGAAGUAGGUCCCAAGGGUAUGGCUGUUCGCCAUUUAAAGUGGUACGCGAGCUGGGUUUAGAACGUCGUGAGACAGUUCGGUCCCUAUCUGCCGUGGGCGCUGGAGAAUUGAGGGGGGCUGCUCCUAGUACGAGAGGACCGGAGUGGACGCAUCACUGGUGUUCGGGUUGUCAUGCCAAUGGCACUGCCCGGUAGCUAAAUGCGGAAGAGAUAAGUGCUGAAAGCAUCUAAGCACGAAACUUGCCCCGAGAUGAGUUCUCCCUGAGACUUUAAGUCUCCUGAAGGAACGUUGAAGACGACGACGUUGAUAGGCCGGGUGUGUAAGCGCAGCGAUGCGUUGAGCUAACCGGUACUAAUGAACCGUGAGGCUUAACCUU
rnacentral:rRNA from 1 species